UGGGGAAUAUUGGACAAUGGGCGCAAGCCUGAUCCAGCCAUACCGCGUGGGUGAAGAAGGCCUUCGGGUUGUAAAGCCCUUUUGUUGGGAAAGAAAAGCAGCCGGUUAAUACCCGGCUGUCAUGACGGUACCCAAAGAAUAAGCACCGGCUAACUUCGUGCCAGCAGCCGCGGUAAUACGAAGGGUGCAAGCGUUACUCGGAAUUACUGGGCGUAAAGCGUGCGUAGGUGGUUUGUUAAGUCUGAUGUGAAAGCCCUGGGCUCAACCUGGGAAUUGCAUUGGAUACUGGCAGGCUAGAGUGCGGUAGAGGAUGGCGGAAUUCCCGGUGUAGCAGUGAAAUGCGUAGAGAUCGGGAGGAACAUCCGUGGCGAAGGCGGCCAUCUGGACCAGCACUGACACUGAGGCACGAAAGCGUGGGGAGCAA
rnacentral:rRNA from 1 species